rnacentral:rRNA from 1 species
UACGUAGGGGGCAAGCGUUGUCCGGAAUCAUUGGGCGUAAAGCGCACGUAGGCGGCUUUGUAAGUUAGAGGUGAAAGCCCGGGGCUCAACCCCGGAAUAGCCUUUAAGACUGCAUCGCUUGAACACGGGAGAGGUGAGUGGAAUUCCGAGUGUAGAGGUGAAAUUCGUAGAUAUUCGGAAGAACACCAGUGGCGAAGGCGGCUCACUGGACCGUUGUUGACGCUGAGGUGCGAAAGCGUGGGGAGCAAACAGG